UGGGGAAUUUUCCGCAAUGGGCGAAAGCCUGACGGAGCAAUGCCGCGUGGAGGUGGAAGGCCUACGGGUCGUCAACUUCUUUUCUCGGAGAAGAAACAAUGACGGUAUCUGAGGAAUAAGCAUCGGCUAACUCUGUGCAA
rnacentral:rRNA from 1 species